rnacentral:rRNA from 1 species
AUUGAACGCUGGCGGCUGGCCUAACACAUGCAAGUCGAGCGGAUGAAGAGAGCUUGCUCCUGGAUUCAGCGGCGGACGGGUGAGUAAUGCCUAGGAAUCUGCCUGGUAGUGGGGGAUAACGUCCGGAAACGGGCGCUAAUACCGCAUACGUCCUGAGGGAGAAAGUGGGGGAUCUUCGGACCUCACGCUAUCAGAUGAGCCUAGGUCGGAUUAGCUAGUUGGUGGGGUAAAGGCCUACCAAGGCGACGAUCCGUAACUGGUCUGAGAGGAUGAUCAGUCACACUGGAACUGAGACACGGUCCAGACUCCUACGGGAGGCAGCAGUGGGGAAUAUUGGACAAUGGGCGAAAGCCUGAUCCAGCCAUGCCGCGUGUGUGAAGAAGGUCUUCGGAUUGUAAAGCACUUUAAGUUGGGAGGAAGGGCAGUAAGUUAAUACCUUGCUGUUUUGACGUUACCAAAAGAAUAAGCACCGGCUAACUUCGUG